GGAAAGAAAACGCAGAUUAGGCUUAGAGGCUUCCUUCGCCCCCAAGGUUAUGGCUGAUAAGUCCGUCUUUCGAUCUCUCUGCGAGGUUUUCCCUCAGGUUGAUCUUCGUAUACUCAAGGCUGUUGCUAUUGAACAUUCUAAGGAUGUUGAUGCAGCCGUUGAAUUUAUACUUUCUGAAGUUUUGCCAUCACUAAAUAUGCCAUCUGAAGAAUCAUACCAUCAGCCUGAAAGACAAGAAGAGCAUCAGUCAAAGGGACAUCAAGAGGUUGAAGAUCUGAAUACAGUUUUACCUUCAGCACCAAAAGCUGCAGUUCUGCCUCCAGCACCAGAAUCUGUAGCUCUGCCUCAAGCAUCUGAAUCUGCAAGUUUAGGUCAUUUUAAGUCAUCUUGCAUGGGCGAAUCUACUGGUGAAGGUUCACAAGUCUGUUCUAUAACAGAACAGCUCUCUUUGAUGUCUUCAAAUGAAUUGACCGGAAACUUCAAAGCUAGUUCUGAAAAUUCUACUGAAUACAAGAUGGAUGCCAUUUCUGAUCAUGAAAACCUUACUUAUAAUUCCA
rnacentral:misc_RNA from 1 species